rnacentral:rRNA from 1 species
CCUACGGGUGACAGCAGUGAGGAAUAUUGGUCAAUGGGCGUAAGCCUGACCCAGCCAAGCCGCGUGAGGGAUGAAGGUUCUAUGGAUCGUAAACCUCUUUUAUAAGGGAAUAAAGUGUGGGAGGUGACCAGUUUUGUAUGUACCUUAUGAAUAAGGAUCGGCUAACUCCGUGCCAGCAGCCGCGGUAAUACGGAGGAUCAGAUCGUUAUCCGGAUUUAUGGGGGGUAAAGGGUGCGUAGGCGGCCUUUUAAGUCAGCGGGGAAAGUCUGUGGCUCAACCAUAGAACUGCCGUUGAAAAUGGGAGGCUGGAGUAUGUUAGAGGAAGGCGGAAUGCGUGGUGUAGCGGUGAAAUGCUUAGAUAUCACGCAGAACCCCGAUUGCGAAGGCAGCCUGCCAAGCCAUGACUGACGCUGAUGCACGAAAGCGUGGGGAGCAAACAGGAUUAGAUACCCCAGUAGUC